AUGGCCCUCUUUGAGGAGUUCUAUGUUGGCACCAUCGACCUCCACCGCCUUAAUUAUGGGAUCAUCACACUAAUCCCCAAGGUCACCGGCGCUUCGGACAUCCCCCAGUUCCGUCCUAUCACAGUGAUCAACGCGAUCUUCCGCAUCCUAGCAAAGGGGUACGCUAAUAGGGUGACCCCUUUGGCCGAUCGCAUUACCCACCCCGACCAGUCGACAUUCAUCCAAGGCCAAUAUAUCCUCAAUGGGGUCCUAGUCUUUCAGGAGGUCCUCCAUGAGGUCCGAUCCAAACACCUCAAGGCCGUCUUCCUGAAAAUUGACUUCCACAAAGCCUAUGACACGGUCAGUUGGUCCUUCCUUCGGGAAGUGUUGCUCCAAAAAGGGUUCAACGACCGUUGGGUCACCCGGAUCAUGCAGAUGGUCUCGUCCAAACAAACCACGGUUAACAUCAAUGGUGAGAUCGGCCCCUACUUCCCCAUCUUAAGUGGGGUUAGGCAGGGCAACCCCUUCUCCCAUUUCCCAUUCAACAUGGUGGUCGAUGCAUUGGCUACUAUCCGUGACAAGGCUAAAGCUGCAGGCCACAUCCACGGUGUAGUGUCGCAUCUUGUGGAGGGAAGUGGUGUGUCCCUCCUUCAGUAUGCCGACGAUACCAUCAUUAUGGUGGAGGGCUCCACAUCCGAUAUCACGAACCUGAAAUUCCUCCUACUCUGCUUUCAGCAAAUGUCUGGCCUCAAAAUCAACUUCGAUAAGAGCGAAGUGAUGGUGAUGGGCUACUGCCCACUGAGAGCCAGAAUAUCACUGACCGCCUCAAUUGUCAGCUGGGCUCCUUCCCCACCACCUACCCGAGGAUUCCCAUUAGUGACUCUCGGCUCUCCGUGGCGGACCUGA
rnacentral:rRNA from 1 species